rnacentral:pre_miRNA from 1 species
AAAUUACUCCCUCUGAUCCAUAUUAAUUGUCGAAAUAUUACAUGUAUCCAGACACCUUUUAGACAUAGAUACAUCCAUAUUUGUAUAAAUUUGAGACAAUUAAUAUCGAUCGGAGGGAGUACUUG